UGCUCUACAGUUUGGCUCUGAGUCUCCAAACAUUCUUUCCUCAGGAGUUGCUGCCUCUCUAAAUCCCCACGAAGCACUGAAAGAUAAUAUUUUUUAUUAUUUUGCGGAUUUUAAAAACAGAGGAGGGACAUAAAGCCGUCAGGUGGGAGCUGGCCUCUCCGGCCGCCGUGCCGACAGGUGAAGCCGGUGUUUAUUGGCGGACGGACGGACGGACGGAUGGUCGCCAGCAGACGCUGAAACUCGACUCUUCCCCGCUGAAAGGAUGGGAGGAGUUAUUACAUGCAUGAGCAGCGUGUCGGGACAUAAAUCCACGGAGGCUCAGGUAGACGAUGAAAGCCCACCGGUCGCUGUCGACGUGGAUUUACAGCCGCUCAUCUCGGAGCUUCUUCCAUUAAAACAUGGUCUGAGAGCUACACUGGAAAAAAUGCUCCUCUCAAAACAAGGAAAAACUCAUUUCAAGGAACUUCUACCCUGAAAUAAGUGAAAACAUCUGCCAAUAGAACAAGUGGAAAGUGGCUUGGGGAAAGUGUCACGUUCCAGCUGCUUGGUGGGAACUGGACACAGGAAGCAGGACGGGGAGCCGAUGACAACAUCUGGAUGUGAUUUCAGAGAUGGCAGUGAAAUAUGAAAAGUGAAGGAGGGACGCAGGAACCUCAGCGGCUACAAACAUGGAAAAUCUGACUUCUGUACAGAGCAAUAAAUAAAUCUGGACCAGAGGUUCACAACCUCUGGAGCUCGCCACUCUGGA